rnacentral:rRNA from 1 species
UGGGGAAUAUUGCACAAUGGGCGCAAGCCUGAUGCAGCAACGCCGCGUGAACGAUGAAGGUCUUAGGAUCGUAAAGUUCUGUUGCAGGGGAAGAUAAUGACGGUACCCUGUGAGGAAGCCCCGGCUAACUACGUGCCAGCAGCCGCGGUAAUACGUAGGGGGCUAGCGUUAUUCGGAUUUACUGGGCGUAAAGGGUGCGUAGGUGGUCCUUCAAGUCGGUGGUUAAAGGCUACGGCCCAACCGGAGUUAGCCGCCGAAACUGGAGGACUUGGGUGCAGGAGAGGAAAGUGGAAUUCCCAGUGUGGCGGUGAAAUGCGUAGAUAUUGGGAGGAACACCAGUAGCGAAGGCGGCUUUCUGGACUGCAACUGACACUGAGGCACGAAAGCGUGGGUAGCAAACAGG